UUACCAGACUCCUACGGGAGGCAGCAGUGGGGGAUAUUGCACAAUGGGGGAAACCCUGAUGCAGCGACGCCGCGUGAGUGAAGAAGUAAUUCGUUCUGUAAAGCUCUAUCAGCAGGGAAGAAAAUGACGGUACCUGAGUAAGAAGCCCCGGCUAACUACGUGCCAGCAGCCGCGGUAAUACGUAGGGGGCAAGCGUUAUCCGGAUUUACUGGGUGUAAAGGGAGCGUAGACGGCAGUGCAAGUCUGGAGUGAAAGGCGGGGGCUCAACCCCCGGACUGCUCUUGGAACUGCGUGGCUGGAGUGCAGGAGGGGCAGGCGGAAUUCCUGGUGUAGCGGUGAAAUGCGUAGAUAUCAGGAGGAACACCGGUGGCGAAGGCGGCCUGCUGGACGAUGACUGACGUUGAGGCUCGAAAGCGUGGGGAGCAAACAGGAUUAGAUACCCCUGUA
rnacentral:rRNA from 1 species